UACGUAGGGUGCGAGCGUUAAUCGGAAUUACUGGGCGUAAAGUGUGCGCAGGCGGCCAUGCAAGUCGAGUGUGAAAGCCCCGGGCUUAACUUGGGAAUUGCGCUGGAGACUGCAAGGCUAGAAUCUGGCAGAGGGGGGUAGAAUUCCACGUGUAGCAGUGAAAUGCGUAGAGGUGGUAUAGAACACCAAUUGCGAAGGCAGCUUGCUAAACGAUCAUUGACGCUGAGGCACGAAAGCGUGGGGAUCAAACAGG
rnacentral:rRNA from 1 species